UACGUAGGGUGCAAGCGUUAUCCGGAAUUAUUGGGCGUAAAGAGCUCGUAGGCGGUUUGUCGCGUCUGCUGUGAAAACUGGAGGCUCAACCUCCAGCCUGCAGUGGGUACGGGCAAACUAGAGUGCGGUAGGGGAGAUUGGAAUUCCUGGUGUAGCGGUGGAAUGCGCAGAUAUCAGGAGGAACACCGGUGGCGAAGGCGGGUCUCUGGGCCGAUACUGACGCUGGGGAGCGAAAGCGUGGGGAGCGAACAGG
rnacentral:rRNA from 1 species